GCAGGAAAUUCUCUUCGCAAAUAAAGAAUUGCUGUCAAAGGCAGCGAACCACAAGAACGAAAGAGCGUGGCAUCCCAUGCACCGGGGAAUCUCUUUGGUUCCCGCGUUUUCCCUCCCCGCGUUCAGGUAUGGAUGCUCAACGCAUUCCGAGUUGCUUCUUGUUGAAAACUAGGGAUUUUGGCUCUGCCGCAACCAUUAAACCUGGCCGCAGUCUGUUUCGGCUGCCCAACGAACUUUCGAUCUCUCAAAACCCUAAGGAGGUUUUCUUCUAUCAAAAUGGUUGAGGCUGAUGGACCAAUUUUUCCAAUUUUCAGUCCCGUAGAUGAUGUAGAAGAGGAUGCAAGAAAAAAUUCUAAUGGAUUCAGGUUCCGCUUGGUCUCAUAUAACAUCCUUGCCCAGGCCAACGAACAAGACGAACAGUAAUGCUCGACUCUUCAAUCUUUGAAAUAUCUGCAUGAUUACCAUUGAAAUCCAUGGUAAGGGACUUGCUGCCAUACUCUUCCUCUAAAAAUGACACAAAAAUUUUCUUCAAAAGGCAAUCUUUGGUGUAGCUACUAUAACAAGAAAUGACAAAUCGAAGAAAAGUACAAACUCCAUGAAUUGACAAGCUUAUCUUGUUGAAUUAGAAAGGCUCAACUCUGAAUAAAAUUGUCAAACUAAUCCUUAAAUUGCUUGAGAAAUCAUCCUGAUCAUGCUUUUUGGCUCAGAAGGGUAUGAAUUCCAACUCCUUUGUUUUAGUGCCUCAGAUAACUCCCCAUAAACUUGGAUCUUAGAUUUAGGACAAACUAUGCCAAUAUCAUUCGAACCUACAAAUCUUUCCCCAUUAGUAAAAUAAAACUCACUUAUGAUUGCAGAACAACUAUUGUGGUGAAGGAAAUACUUUAAUUUUCUCCACAUUCACCCUCAGUGAUAUAUUAUACAUACCUCAUCUUGGUGUAAAUCUUUUACU